rfam:Asian citrus Psyllid, Diaphorina citri - Florida Strain, whole genome shotgun sequence.
GGCAGCGAUGAUAGUUCGUUGAAUGCACCAGUUCCCAAUUUUUCACUGAAGUUAAGCAACGUAGCGUAUGAUUGGUAUCUGGACGAUUGACCGUCUAGGCAAGCAUAUGCUGUUGGCU